AAGUCGUAACAAGGUUUCCGUAGGUGAACCUGCGGAAGGAUCAUUAAAGAAUCGCCCCGUUUUUUGAAAUGGGUUCUAUUCCCAAACCGUGUAUACAUACCUUUGUUGCUUUGGCAGGCCGCCUUUUAGGCGUCGGCUCCGGUUGACUGCGCCUGCCAGAGGACCCAAACUCGUUUGUUUAGUGAUGUCUGAGUACUAUAUAAUAGUUAAAACUUUCAACAACGGAUCUCUUGGUUCUGGCAUCGAUGAAGAACGCAGCGAAAUGCGAUAAGUAAUGUGAAUUGCAGAAUUCAGUGAAUCAUCGAAUCUUUGAACGCACAUUGCGCCCCUUGGUAUUCCGAGGGGCAUGCCUGUUCGAGCGUCAUUAUAACCACUCAAGCCUCGGCUUGGUCUUGGGGUUCGCGGUCUCGCGUCCCUUAAAAUCAGUGGCGGUGCCGUCUGGCUCUAAGCGUAGUAAUUCUCUCGCUAUAGGGUCCCGGUGGUUGCCUGCCAGAACCCCCCAU
rnacentral:rRNA from 1 species